GUUCGUUGCCGUUUGUAGAUCCGAUAUCUUCAUUGCUUCGUUGAUUUCCCACCGGUUGGCAAAUCAUCGAAUCGAUUUGUGUCGGUGAAUUGCUUUGCAUAUAUUAUCGGAAUUACUUCUUUGUUAGUAAAUAAAUCUAAAUCGAUAAUCACACUUGUCGCGGGCAAAAAGUCCGUAUCGUUUGUUGUGACCGAUAAUGCAACUGGAUUUGAAAGAUAUGAAACCGUAUUCCAAACGUAUCUUAGCAUGUGUUGUCAAAUUGCCAUCUGGACACGUAGGAAGCGGCGUGCUAUUAUUUGCGACGCUCGGCUCGCAUACCGACGCGGAUGAAUACCCCUGCUCGAAGUCAUCUGGCCAUCGGUGUUCCAACGGUAUUUCUUCAUUACCGUACUCGUUGUUUUGAUUUGUUGGCACUUGUGUGUCAACUCUGGUUUUUUUCCAUCGUAUUACAAUGAAACAUGAGCAGCCCGCUGUAUUCCUAUACAUAUUAUGCCUGCUGCCAAGACAUAAUUAAUUAUAGGUUGUAUUCGACGGUGUUUAGCUCGCAGUUGUUCGUCGAGCUGUUCUCUCAAUUGUUUAACUGACUUCCCAAUGGUCGGUAAAUCAUUAAAUUGAUUAGCGUUUGUGAUCCGCCUUGCAUCUACUACUGGAAUUACAUGUUCAUUAGUAAAUAAAGUUAGGUCAAUUGUCAUACUUGUAGUGGGCACAAAGUCUGUAUAGUUUUUCGUGAUCCCCAAUGCAGCCGGUAUCAACAGAUCGUGCGAUGCGUAUGCUUUGCAUGUUUCGGGUAGUGAUAAGGCGCCAACGUCGUUUAUGGUAUGAGCGAUGGACUCCUUUUUCCCGUCGCAAGCGAUUACAAGCGGUUCUUCGGUCGUUGCAUACAACCAUUGGUUCUUCAGUUGCAAUUUGUGAAAUAACGUUGCUUCCAGUUGGAAGUACAUCAUUUCACAAUUUUCUGAUGGACGUCUCCACUUGCAGUUGAAUCACUGAGGACUCUUGGACUUCCCCUAAAAAUCCGACUUCCGACACCAAUUUAUGUACUGCGCCAAGAGAUUUAAGCAGCACACUUAUAAGACUUAUAGAAGAUAUGAAAAGGUAAUUCAGACAGAGAAAAAACAAGUUUAUAGUUAUGUUUAAUUAACACUUUUAAACACGCUAAUAAUUCAAGACAAUACUUA